AUGCGUUAAAGAUUGGGAAAUACCUCAAUCUUCGAUGUGAGGCCAAGGCUGGCACCUCAUGCUACUUUCAUCUGAACAAUGGUGACUCACACUUUAAAAAAGUACCCUACAAAGACAAUGUCUGUGUGGAGAGAGUGGCAGUAGAGGAACUGCAGAGGAAGAGGAGCAGUGCUGGAGAGAUCUUCAUCACCUGUGCUGUGGAGCUAGUGGUAGGGUGAAAGAUACUGUGACAUCACAGCAUAGUGAACCCCUCGGUAUCACCAUAGACGGAGCUACUAGUUCCCCAUCAACGUUCAGUUUAAUCACAACUGGUCAGGAGAAGACAAGCAACAAUACCACAGCCCAAGGAAGAGGUACAAGGUUCCACGUCGUCAUCAGUCUGGGUACUUGUUCCCUUUUCCUGGUUCUGCUAGCUGUGUGUGUGCUGUGUGUUCUCCAACGCAAGUGUGGGGUUCAAGGCAGGCCUGUAAAUACUGGAAGCCCACCUGAGCAGCAAGACCAAACCUCACCUUGUGUCUAUUCUGUCAUCACAAAGCCUUCUAGGGAUGAGGAAGAGGACACUAGUCUGCAAUACGCUACAGUGACAUAUACCUGUGACCAAGCUAGUCGUCAAUAUGCAACAGUGACAUCUACCUGUAACCAAGUUGAACCUGGGCGCACCAAGAUCAAGUUUGAAAUAGCUGGAGAGUACGCCCUCUUAGCAGAAUCAUAGAAGAAGAAACAUUUACUGGAUAACAUGUUUUGCCAUAGUUUACAGUUACAAUCCUAUAUUUUGUUUUCAUAUUGGAUCAUAAUUUACUCAUAGUACAAAAACAAAUUCUGCCACAACAUCAAAGACUGAAGAUAUCUACUCCUUUCUGAAAACAAGCAUCUUCAACUAUUUACAUUUUAGGUUAAAUGAAAUAAAUGAAAAGUACACUGGUUGAAACAUAAAAUAAAUAUUUUUGUUAAUUGA